rnacentral:rRNA from 1 species
CCUACGGGAGGCAGCAGUGAGGAAUAUUGGUCAAUGGACGAGAGUCUGAACCAGCCAAGUAGCGUGCAGGAUGACUGCCCUAUGGGUUGUAAACUUCUUUUAUAACGGAAUAAAACGAGGCACGUGUGCCUUUUUGCAUGUACUUUAUGAAUAAGGAUCGGCUAACUCCGUGCCAGCAGCCGCGGUAAUACGGAGGAUGCGAGCGUUAUCCGGAUUUAUUGGGUUUAAAGGGGGCGUAGGCGGGCUUUUAAGUCAGCGGUAAAAAUUCGGUGCUCAAACCCGUCCGGCCGUUGAAACUGGGUGCCUUGAGUGGGCGAGAAGAAGGCGGAAUGCGUGGUGUAGCGGUGAAAUGCAUAGAUAUCACGCAGAACCCCGAUUGCGAAGGCAGCCUUCCGGCGCCCUACUGACGCUGAGGCACGAAAGUGCGGGGAUCGAACAGGAUUAGAUACCCGGGUAGUC